ensembl:lncRNA
UGUGAGCGCAUUGCUUGUGCUGGAGAUGGUCUCACCGACAGACUCCCUGGAUGUCCGUCAAGCACCCAGAGCGCUGACAGGCCCUGAGCCCCGCCUGGGGGUGUCGCUUGGCUGAGCCCUGACAGGAGGGGUAGGAUGUGAUCAGGCCAGUUGCUGGAGGACUCGCAUUUGAAGCAGAGGAGAAAGAGAAAGCAAGUUCCCCGGGUCAGCACAGGGCUGUGAGUGGGGGCUGGCGAGCUGGCUGCGGCUGCCAAGUCAAGGUGGACUGGUGGACCCCAGAGAACCUUCCAGGGGGUGCGAGUCCCUUCCAUUCCUGGGACCAUGCUGUCACAAGUCCAGCAGGUUUCCAUCUUGGUCGCCGUUAGGCGCGUGCGUGGGAGUGGCAGGUAAGAGCUGCCCAAGCGAGCCCAGGGGCGGUCCAAACCCUGCCCAGGACCCCAGAAGGCAGGCUCUGAGCCCUGAAGCCAGGCCUAGUAUUUUGCCCUGAUUGCGCCCCCAUCACCAAAAUUAAUAAUCCCUUCUGUGCUCUGGGGGCUGUGUGGGUGCUGGGGGAUAGAGUGACAAUGCAUAUUAAUGUCAGGCCAUGGCUAUGGAGCUGGGCAUCUACGGGCUCUACACAUCUUUAAUGUAAACUUCCCAGCAACCCUAUGAGUCAGCUACUAUUUGGUUCCCAUUUUACAGAUGAGGAAACUAAGGCAUGGAGAGGUUAGUGAGUUGACUAAGGUGGUACAAGAGGUGGACCCCAAGUUCAAGUGCCCCCACUGUGAGCUGCCUGCUGCCCACUCCUCUUCCACCUUCCAAAAGGCUCUCUGCCUUGGUCCACUCUCACCAAAGUGUCACGUGCCACGUUCUUUCCAGGCAGGGUGUUCUUAUUUUUAAUCCUUAAUCUUAAGCCCAUUUCUCCUGGUUCUGCCCUCCCGAGGUUAUCUUUGUUCAUGGUCCCACGUGAAUGGGGAAGGACACCUUCCUCUUCCUGGCUCCGCCCCUUUCUCCAGGCCCACUGCCACUGUCCCCACCUUGGGACAGACCCUCAUCAUUUCCACCAGCCCCCUCCCCUAGGCUCCCCUGUCUCUCUCCCUCCGGUCUAUCCUUACAGCUGUGGCAAUGAGUGCUUGUCCCAAAGUGGGGAUCUGACCACAGCAUCCAUUCCCUGGGAGCCACUCCUGGCUCCACAUCGGCUGGGGGAUAAAAUCUGGACUCUGGAGUGUGAGGUCCAGAGUCCCUCCUGUGUGGCCCCUCCCUCCUCAGGGCUCCAGCUCUUGCUCCACCUGCACAGGCCCCUCUAUCAGCACUUCCCAGAAGGCCAGUCCCCUGGAGGGGCUGGCCCUUGAUAAAGUGUUCAGCAGUCAGCAAUAAAGCAAGAAAAUCAAAGGACAGUGAGAUACAGAAAAUCGAUCAGGACACAUCGGCCAAGUUGCCAGCUGCCCUAUCUUGGUCACAGUAUCUUAUAUUCUAAGUGUUCUAUCUUUAAUUUUUAAUAGUUAAAAUAGUUCUCUCAUAAAUCAGUGCUGGGAGAAAAAUGACUUUUUUUUUUUUUUUUUAAUGUCCUCUUGCGGCAAACUACACGUUUGCCACCGUAGUCAGAUUCCUUUCAUAUGCUGACAGUUCAAGGGCUGACGGAAGCUUGCCCCACUGGCGUGUCAAGCAGACCCUGAUCCUUGGGCUCCUGAGUCUUUCCUGCCAUUCUUUCCUUUUGUCUGAAAUGCUCACGGGCCCCCGAGUUGUUAUCACCACUGUCCCGCAAGGCCGGACCUUCCUUCCCCCAAAGCAGUGCCAUCCUCACGUCCACAUUUCCAGGGCCUGCUGUGGGCCCAGCCACCCACGCGCUUGGCUGGUUUGCUGAGAGGUUGAGUGUGUGGUGGAGAGCGGCUGUGGGUGGGAGUGCCCAGGCUCCCACUGGCCUCAGCUAUCAGACCAGGGCACGGCCAGCUCUCUCCUGCUUGGAGGGCCCCGCUGGGUGCCAGAGACUCUUCCUCAACCCCAGUGGGGCCCAGCUUGGAGCUUAGAAUCCUAAUGGACCUUAAC